GCUCGCCCACACAGCCCAGUUUAGGAUAGGUGUCACAUCAGAAGCCACUCAGGGAAAAAAGACCUGAAGACCUGAACUAAAACUUGUUUUAAUCACAUCUAAUUGUAUUUUCCCUGUAUUAGAAUCUGAAGAGACAUCACAAGAAAAUAGGGCACGGAAGUCCCUGGACCAGCUCCGAGGGCCUAACCCAGGGUGGGUGUUUCUGUAAGUUCUCAAUGCACAUCUCAUGCACACACCCCCACCACAAACACUUGGCCCUCACAGGAAAAUAGCCACUGAAGAACAAUUCAAGGAUUCAACAGCAAUAACAAUUUCUGAUAAUGCAUUUUCCUGCUCCUUCACAUGGCCCUACUGUAUUAGAGAGCCACUCAAUACUCUCUGCACACCAGAGCAAAGGGAAGCUCACCAUCCAUAAGUUCUUCCUACAGAUAUUUCCAUUAAGAAAAAAAAAAGCAGAAAACAUAGUGAU